CUUGAUAUCUAUAAGAGGUCCAGCCUGCCCAGUGACGAAGUUCAACGGCCGCGGUAUCCUAACCGUGCGAAGGUAGCGUAAUCACUUGUUCUUUAAAUGAGGACUAGUAUGAAUGGCACCACGAGGGUUAUACUGUCUCCUUUUUCUAAUCAAUGAAACUAAUCUCCCCGUGAAGAAGCGGGGAUAAACUUAUAAGACGAGAAGACCCUAUGGAGCUUUAAACAACAGUAGCACUAGCCUUCAUCUUUAUAUUUGAGAAAUGCAACUAUUAUAUUGGCUAACAUGACUAUUAGUUUUAGGUUGGGGUGACCGCGGAGCAAAAACUAACCUCCACAUUGAACGGAGCUUUCCUGAGCUAAAAGCUACAACUUUAAGCACCAAUAAAUUGACAUCAAUUGACCCAACACGUUGAGCAACGAAC
rnacentral:rRNA from 1 species